UACGUAGGGACCGAGCGUUGUCCGGAUUCAUUGGGCGUAAAGAGCUCGUAGGCGGCUGUUCAAGUCGAACGUGAAAACUCGGAGCUCAACUCCGAGCCUGCGUUCGAUACUGGACGGCUAGAGUCUGGUAGGGGGGAUCUGGAAUUCCUGGUGUAGCGGUGGAAUGCGCAGAUAUCAGGAGGAACACCGGUGGCGAAGGCGGGUCUCUGGGCCGAUACUGACGCUGAGGAGCGAAAGCGUGGGGAGCGAACAGG
rnacentral:rRNA from 1 species